CUCUGCCUUCUUUUUACCCUUCCCUCUUCUUGUACCAAGUCCUCACUAGAUUCUAGAGCUGUCCUCCAAGGCAGCCUUCUGGGGGUAGAAGGAUAUGAAUUGGGCCGCUGUCAUGAACAAGGAACAGGGACCACCCAUCGCUAAAGCCACUCAGGGCUUAUAUAUACAAUUAUCUUUAAUAGGAAGAAAGUACCAGCCAAGAAGCCGCAGGGCGCACCCAGAGGUAGGCCCAGGCCUGGCACAACUGGAUUGGACCCAUAUGAAAAAGUUCUAGG
rnacentral:lncRNA from 1 species